GCAAUUUGGAAACCGGAUUCGUGUUCAGCAUCCAAAAACUAUAAGAAACGACUGGUCUCGUUCCGGUGUUCGAAAAAAAGUGAUUUUUGUUGAACAGUGUAAUUUGUGCUGCAUACGUACCCUCGUCCAAAGGAUCGAGAGCAACGCCGAAUGUUGCGUAAUUUUCCUCUUCCGAGUCGCUCAUCUCGAAAGGCAACUUCAAUCGUCAGAGCAUAGGUUUUCACUUAAAUUAUGACUGGACAUGAUACCAACUAAAUUCUCCUCAAACUUCCAGCUUUGACGUCAAGUUGAAGGUACAAGUUACAAGUUUGAGGUUAGAGGCGCUAACGCACCAUCAGCCAACUUCAAGCGGCGUUCACAUCGCUGCGUUAUUCGACAGCCGAUUCACGUGCAGCAGAGAGAAACCUGAGAGCGGCCACCAGCCUCCUGACGUUUGGCGCCGCCUGACAAAGUGGACGCGAACUAGUUCGUUACGCUCGGUAAUGAUACGAGUGAGCAUUUUCCAGCGGUGCGGAAAGUACAUACCAUUAGAGUCCGAAAUAAUCAGAGAAGCGCAAUCGGCGUCUCACUUGCUGAUUGGCUGACCGCCAUGUUGAGCCCGUAUUACAUUCUGUUGGGAAACUAACCGCAACCGGCGUACCUUAACUUCUCCAGCACGUCACGUUUUGUAACUAUAAUAUGAUGAAAUUCGUCAAAAUAGCCCUUUUUUGUACCUUUAAGGGCAAAUUUCUCAAAAUUGUGACGCGAUGGAGCAAUUUGGAAACCGGAUUCGUGUUCAGCAUCCAAAAACUAUAAGAAACGACUGGUCUCGUUCCGGUGUUCGAAAAAAAGUGAUUUUUGUUGAACAGUGUAAUUUGUGCUGCAUACGUACCCUCGUCCAAAGGAUCGAGAGCAACGCCGAAUGUUGCGUAAUUCUCCUCUUCCGAGUCGCUCAUCUCGAAAGGCAACUUCAAUCGUCAGAGCAUAGGUUUUCACUUAAAUUACGACUGGACAUGAUACCAACUAAAUUCUCCUCAAACUUCCAGCUUUGACGUCAAGUUGAAGGUACAAGUUACAAGUUUGAGGUUAGAGGCGCUAACGCACCAUCAGCCAACUUCAAGCGGCGUUCACAUCGCUGCGUUAUUCGACAGCCGAUUCACGUGCAGCAGAGAGAAACCUGAGAGCGGCCACCAGCCUCCUGACGUUUAGCGCCGCCUGACAAAGUGGACGUGAACUAGUUCGUUACGCUCGGUAAUGAUACGAGUGAGCAUUUUCCAGCGGUACGGAAAGUACAUACCAUUAGAGUCCGAAAUAAUCAGAGAAGCGCAAUCGGCGUCUCACUUGCUGAUUGGCUGACCGCCAUGUUGAGCCCGUAUUACAUUCUGUUGGGAAACUAACCGCAACCGGCGUACCUUAACUUCUCCAGCACGUCACGUUUUGUAACUAUAAUAUGAUGAAAUUCGUCAAAAUAGCCCUUUUUUGUACCUUUAAGGGCAAAUUUCUCAAAAUUGUGACGCGAUGGAGCAAUUUGGAAACCGGAUUCGUGUUCAGCAUCCAAAAACUAUAAGAAACGACUGGUCUCGUUCCGGUGUUCGAAAAAAAGUGAUUUUUGUUGAACAGUGUAAUUUGUGCUGCAUACGUACCCUCGUCCAAAGGAUCGAGAGCAACGCCGAAUGUUGCGUAAUUCUCUUCCGAGUCGCUCAUCUCGAAAGGCAACUUCAAUCGUCAGAGCAUAGGUUUUCACUUAAAUUACGACUGGACAUGAUACCAACUAAAUUCUCCUCAAACUUCCAGCUUUGACGUCAAGUUGAAGGUACAAGUUACAAGUUUGAGGUUAGAGGCGCUAACGCACCAUCAGCCAACUUCAAGCGGCGUUCACAUCGCUGCGUUAUUCGACAGCCGAUUCACGUGCAGCAGAGAGAAACCUGAGAGCGGCCACCAGCCUCCUGACGUUUGGCGCCGCCUGACAAAGUGGACGCGAACUAGUUCGUUACGCUCGGUAAUGAUACGAGUGAGCAUUUUCCAGCGGUGCGGAAAGUACAUACCAUUAGAGUCCCGAAUAAUCAGAGAAGCGCAAUCGGCGUCUCACUUGCUGAUUGGCUGACCGCCAUGUUGAGCCCGUAAUACAUUCUGUUGGGAAACUAACCGCAACCGGCGUACCGUAAGUGAACAAAAAUCUUAUGAACCAUAACCGACACCAAAAGUUCCUUUUGAGGAUUGAAAAUCUUAACAACAUACUUUAUUUUCAUUGUAGUUAACUUCUCCAGCACGUCACGUUUUGUAACUAUAAUAUGAUGAAAUUCGUCAAAAUAGCCCUUUUUUGUACCUUUAGGUGCAAAUUUCUCAAAACUGUGACGCGAUGGAGCAAUUUGGAAACCGGAUUCGUGUUCAGCAUCCAAAAACUAUAAGAAACGACUGGUCUCGUUCCGGUGUUCGAAAAAAAGUGAUUUUUGUUGAACAGUGUAAUUUGUGCUGCAUACGUACCCUCGUCCAAAGGAUCGAGAGCAACGCCGAAUGUUGCGUAAUUUUCCUCUUCCGAGUCGCUCAUCUCGAAAGGCAACUUCAAUCGUCAGAGCAUAGGUUUUCACUUAAAUUAUGACUGGACAUGAUACCAACUAAAUUCUCCUCAAACUUCCAGCUUUGACGUCAAGUUGAAGGUACAAGUUACAAGUUUGAGGUUAGAGGCGCUAACGCACCAUCAGCCAACUUCAAGCGGCGUUCACAUCGCUGCGUUAUUCGACAGCCGAUUCACGUGCAGCAGAGAGAAACCUGAGAGCGGCCACCAGCCUCCUGACGUUUGGCGCCGCCUGACAAAGUGGACGCGAACUAGUUCGUUACGCUCGGUAAUGAUACGAGUGAGCAUUUUCCAGCGGUGCGGAAAGUACAUACCAUUAGAGUCCGAAAUAAUCAGAGAAGCGCAAUCGGCGUCUCACUUGCUGAUUGGCUGACCGCCAUGUUGAGCCCGUAUUACAUUCUGUUGGGAAACUAACCGCAACCGGCGUACCUUAACUUCUCCAGCACGUCACGUUUUGUAACUAUAAUAUGAUGAAAUUCGUCAAAAUAGCCCUUUUUUGUACCUUUAAGGGCAAAUUUCUCAAAAUUGUGACGCGAUGGAGCAAUUUGGAAACCGGAUUCGUGUUCAGCAUCCAAAAACUAUAAGAAACGACUGGUCUCGUUCCGGUGUUCGAAAAAAAGUGAUUUUUGUUGAACAGUGUAAUUUGUGCUGCAUACGUACCCUCGUCCAACGGAUCGAGAGCAACGCCGAAUGUUGCGUAAUUCUCCUCUUCCGAGUCGCUCAUCUCGAAAGGCAACUUCAAUCGUCAGAGCAUAGGUUUUCGCUUAAAUUACGACUGGACAUGAUACCAACUAAAUUCUCCUCAAACUUCCAGCUUUGACGUCAAGUUGAAGGUACAAGUUACAAGUUUGAGGUUAGAGGCGCUAACGCACCAUCAGCCAACUUCAAGCGGCGUUCACAUCGCUGCGUUAUUCGACAGCCGGUUCACGUGCAGCAGAGAGAAACCUGAGAGCGGCCACCAGCCUCCUGACGUUUGGCGCCGCCUGACAAAGUGGACGCGAACUAGUUCGUUACGCUCGGUAAUGAUACAAGUGAGCAUUUUCCAGCGGUGCGGAAAGUACAUACCAUUAGAGUCCCGAAUAAUCAGAGAAGCGCAAUCGGCGUCUCACUUGCUGAUUGGCUGACCGCCAUGUUGAGCCCGUAAUACAUUCUGUUGGGAAACUAACCGCAACCGGCGUACCUGACAGUAGGCUGUAAUCUUCGCAAUGCCUUCUCCAUUUGGACAAUCUUACUGAACAUCUUACGCAACUGCUGCAAGCCUAAAUUACGCUCAACUGUUAAGUCUUGAAUAACUUGUGAUGCUUUGUUACACUGUAAUAUCAGUUCAUCAAUUGUACACAACAUUUUACUUUGGGAACCAGUAUAGAAGGGAUUGAAUGUCUUUCUUGAAUAGAAUAAAUCUACAACAUAAUUUAUAACAAACGACGUGAAACCAUUAUAAUUAAAAUAAAUUAUUAUUAUAUUAAGUU